AGCAGAGUGGCACAGUGGAAGUGUGCUGGGCCCAUAACUCAGAGGUUGAUGGAUCAAAACCAUCCUCCCCUA
rfam:Myotis lucifugus cont2.43955, whole genome shotgun sequence.